AUGUGGGCCAUAUGGUGGGCGAGACGACGUGCUAUCCAUCAUGAUCAAUACCAAAGCCCCCUAAGCACCUCGGUUUUUGUCAAAAAGAUCCUGGAAGAUCUUGAUUUGGUGGCGGACAGCAAGCAGCGCCCGGCCAAGGACCGGCUUGCGAUACACAAGGACUUGCAUGUAACAGCUGAUAAUGCAAGGGCCAGAGUGAUUAUAUCGCCAUGGAUUCCCCCAGCCGAUUUCGACGUGAAAAUUAAUGCUGAUGGUGGGGUGUCAAGAUGUGGCAGAAGAGGUGUCGUGGCGGUCGUUUGCCGAGACAAGGCGGGAACUUUCUUGGGAGCAUCAGCGAGAGUUUUUGACGGCCUUACGAACCCAUCCUCGCUAGUGGCGCAAGCCUGCAAUGAGGCUCUUUCAUUGGCCGAGGACCUCAACCUGAAUGCUGUUUGUGUGGCAUCGGACUGCGCUGAGGUGAUCUCCAAGAUCGGGACGGAAGCUCCUUGCCACUAUACAACGAUACUCCGGGAGAUUAACCAUCGCACUGCUGUUUUUCAUAAUAUUCUCUUUGUUCAUGAAAAAAGGAAGUUUAAUUUUGAAGCACAUUCGCUUGCAAAAGCAGCUGUUUCUUUGUCUAGCGGGCGCCAUGUGUGGCUUGUUUCUACGCCCGAUAUCAUCUGUAUCUCUAUGAACAUCCAACUAUAA
rnacentral:rRNA from 1 species